UUGCAAAAAUCGGAGGCAUAAGACCCCAAAAUAGGGAAGCUUUUAAAUUGUUAUAUAUGCUAAGUCUAGAGACGUAAAGUUCACCGAUGGCUUUUCUUCUAGUCAAAAGCAGAUAUCUGAGGCAACGCUGUCCGAGCCUCAAAAGAACAAAUAAAAAACUUAGUUAGAAUUUAUGAGCCCCCAAAAAAUUGCAUGCCGAGCGGUACAAUUAAUAUCGGGCACUGGGAAAUGAAUUUUAAUGUUAAGGAACGUUGGGAGAACCUAUAAAUGAGUUGGUGCUCCUCGUAAAUAAAACUGAGGAAAUCCUCUCUCAAACAUGAAAGUGCAAUUCAGUGCAAAAGAGGAAGCAGUUGAGUUUUGUGAGAAAAACGGAUGGGACUACUAUAUCCAAGAAAGCAAAAGAAAACUAUUUAAACUCAACUCGUAUGGCUCUAAUUUUGCUUGGAAUAAGCGUACUGGACUAUCCACAGAGUAAUUUUGUACAAUUCCUUUAAUAAUUGUUGUUAAUAAAUAUUCGAAUA